rnacentral:rRNA from 1 species
GGGAUUAAUACCCUAUGACACCUAGGUAUCGCAUGAUACUUAGGUUAAAGCGAUUUAGCGGUGGGAGAUGGCCUCACGUCCCAUUAGCUAGUUGGUGAGGUAACGGCUCACCAAGGCGACGAUGGGUAGCCGGCCUGAGAGGGUGACCGGCCACACUGGGACUGAGACACGGCCCAGACUCCUACGGGAGGCAGCAGUGGGGAAUAUUGCACAAUGGGCGAAAGCCUGAUGCAGCGACGCCGCGUGAGCGAAGAAGGCCUUCGGGUCGUAAAGCUCUGUCCUAUGGGAAGAUAAUGACGGUACCAUAGGAGGAAGCCCCGGCUAACUACGUGCCAGCAGCCGCGGUAAUACGUAGGGGGCGAGCGUUGUCCGGAAUGACUGGGCGUAAAGGGUACGUAGGCGGCUGAGUAAGUCAGGUGUGAAAGUCUAGGGCUCAACCCUAGUGAGCAUUUGAAACUGCUUAGCUUGAGUCGAGGAGAGGAAGGUGGAAUUCCUGGUGUAGCGGUGAAAUGCGUAGAUAUCAGGAGGAAUACCAGUGGCGAAGGCGACCUUCUGGCCUUGGACUGACGCUGAGGUACGAAAGCGUGGGGAGCAAACAGGAUUAGAUACCCUGGUAGUCCACGCUGUAAACGAUGAGUGCUAGGUGUCGGGGGAGAUAUCCUUCGGUGCCGAAGUUAACACAUUAAGCACUCCGCCUGGGGAGUACGGUCGCAAGACUGAAACUCAAAGGAAUUGACGGGGGACCCGCACAAGCAGCGGAGCAUGUGGUUUAAUUCGAUGCAACGCGAAGAACCUUACCAGGCCUUGACAUCCC